rnacentral:rRNA from 1 species
UUUAAAGAGAGUUUGAUCCUGGCUCAGGACGAACGCUGGCGGCGUGCCUAAUACAUGCAAGUCGAACGAACGGAGGAAGAGCUUGCUCUUCCAAAGUUAGUGGCGGACGGGUGAGUAACACGUGGGCAACCUGCCUGUAAGUUGGGGAUAACUCCGGGAAACCGGGGCUAAUACCGAAUGAUAAAGUGUGGCGCAUGCCACGCUUUUGAAAGAUGGUUUCGGCUAUCGCUUACAGAUGGGCCCGCGGUGCAUUAGCUAGUUGG